rnacentral:lncRNA from 7 species
ACCUUGGCGCCCGUUUGUGAGGGAGCUCCGCCGGUGCCUGCUCGGCUGCUGUCAGUGUGCCUUCGGCCUCGUGUUGAGCUUUGUGCUUAGGAACGGGGAAACCUCGCUCAGAUGCUCAAUGCCGUCCUUCUCCCUUGCCCCUGAACUACAGCUCAGAGCUAACAAAACUGUAUUCCUGGAUGAAAUUUAACAGAUCCCCAGCAUAAAGUUUCAGCUCGGGGCAAUGUGGAGGUGCCGCAGAUAAACAAGAAGAACAAUUCUGCGUAUUGAACUCUCAAACGAAAGUUUACUUUCCCUCUUCUCCCUGUCUACCUGUGCUCUGAGGCAACAAACACUGCUUCAGUGGCAAGAAAAAGGAGCAGAACAGAACUGAACAUUUCCGUGCUUUCAGAAGGAAGAAAAAAAGUCAGGAGUUUAUCUUUCAAGGAUGACUGCUCUUCAAGUACACCAGGUGGGAUCCAAUCAUGCGCUGCAUCUGAAGUGCACUUGAGAUAAAUUCAGGAUAGGUUCAUGCUUGGCCUCAGCUCUCACCAGAUCUGUCUUGCAUCAUUUGCUGGUCAAUUAUGAGCAUUUCCUUCAUUGUCUACUCAUUGUGAAGAAUAGCAGUGCCCCAUUCUGCAGGUUCUGAAGCCGUACUCCAUCUUCUCAGCACCACUGGAACACCUCUUCACUUGUGCACUUCACAAAUUGCUGCAUGCCCUGCCAUCACAGAGUUAAUUUAACCAGCUGUUAAAAUGACUGUUAUAUUAGUAUUUUUCACCUAUGUGGUAUUACUUAAAAAGCUGAUGAUUAAAAAGAAGGUGAAAGAACAGGCUGAAAUAGUAAUUCACAGUGCAAAAAUGAUGAAGUGAUGAAGAAAUUAUAGCUUGUGAAGCCCAAAAAAGCCAAUCAGACCACCUACUGGACUUGUGACAGUUUCAUUAAGAUGAGAGACUGAAGAGAGAGAAAGAUGAUUGGGUUUUAAAAAUUGGUCUCCUGACAUGGGGGAUGCGGAGAAGCUGGGUUUGCACGUGGUGGCAGUGCUCUCCUGCACUGCUGGCAGCCCUGGCUGUCCCAGAUGCUGCUUCUGCCUGCAGAAGAUGGAGGGGGAGUGUGGGCUCUGGGGCUCAUUUUCUGCCUAAUAUUUUCUUAAUUCAUUUUAAAUACUCCUCCUCUGCACUCAUGGAGCUCUGCUAUUUUACAGCUUUUAUUAUUGUAUGAAGUUUCUCUUUGAAAAGAAAGAGAAGAAAGGAGGCACUGGAAAUGGCUGAACAUGUUUCUAUUUCAGAACGGUGGGAGCCUCUGUUAUUCAGUGUCCCUUGAGAUUACGGAUAGAUGGUGGAGAAGAUGUGAAUGAGACCAUAUUUGAUAGUUCAUUUCUGGCUGGCACAGCACUGCCACUCAUGGACCAUCUCCCUCCCUUCCUCCCUCCCUUCUUUCCUUCCUUCCUUGGUUCGUUCAUUCCUUCCUUGCUUCCUUCCUUCCUCUCAACUCUGUCACCAUCUGUAGUGUUUCUUUGCAGUAUGUUGCAACACAGACCUACUGGUCCUACUGCAGAUGUCGGAAGUUAGUGUAUAGUUUUAUUGUUAUCUGUAGAACAGCAGUGGGAACAUGGCUUUGUCAACUCAGUUUUGUUGUGGUUCCAUAGCAUUAACUGCCUUUCUCAAAGCUUCUGUCUGAAUUCCUAUGGCAUGCCAAGAACCUCAUCUUUUGUUCAUGUUAUGAAAGGAAUGUGUGGUUUUUCUGGUGGUGUGGAAGAACUUGACAGUGUGAACAAAACAAGGAUUU